rnacentral:lncRNA from 1 species
GAACCAGCCUCUUGAGAGGAAAAGAGGUUGCCUUUCACUUUCACACUGAAAAGCUCCUGGCUCUGUUAUUUCCUGACCCUUGUGGAGGGAUGACUCCCCAUGCCCCUGAGAUCUUAUGCACAGACUGAUCUUUAAUCCGGUACAGUCUGGUUUCUCCCGCUUAACAUGGCUGGUGCCUCCCUCCCCCGCCUCCCUCACUGGUGCCUCCUUGCUAUGUAGUGUUGAGGGAAAGAGGUGACUCAGCCUGCUUGUGCACAACUGGGUCCCCAUGGUCCCUACAACUUGGGUGGGGCAGGAUCCCCAAUUCUCCCAUCGCUUUUCCCCACCCCCAGGUAUGUUGCAAAUGGCCUGACCCUCCCCCUCUACAUGGGGAGCCAGUGUGGCUAGAUUCCUGGGUGGAUCCACACUUUUAGGAGAUGGAAUCGUAGGGAAAGUCCCUUCCAGGGGCUGUCCAUCAGGCACUGUGGGAACCAGCCCAGGGACAAGGCCUUAGGCCCUACUGGCAGAGGGCCAUGGUCUGAGUCGUGCAGUUGCCCAGCAAGGCCAAGCAGGACUAGACUGUGGCUCACUUCUUACUUCUGCUCUGGCCUGGCUGACUACAGACCAGCUACUCUGAGCUAACCUUGCCCUUCCCUGCCAGCCAUGGGAACAAAGAAGUCUUCUCCUGCCGGGGCAUUUUGCUGGCUGUGAACUGGUUUCUGGAGCGGGGCCAUACAGACAUCACCGUGUUUGUGCCAUCGUGGAGGAAGGAACAGCCUCGGCCAGAUGUGCCUAUCACAGACCAGCACAUUCUGCGGGAACUAGAGAAAAAGAAGAUCCUGGUGUUCACGCCAUCCAGGCGGGUCGGUGGCAAGCGUGUAGUGUGCUACGAUGACCGAUUCAUUGUGAAGCUGGCCUAUGAAUCCGACGGAGUGGUGGUGUCCAAUGACACAUACCGGGACCUCCAAGGCGAGAGGCAGGAGUGGAAGCGCUUCAUCGAGGAGAGGCUGCUCAUGUACUCCUUCGUCAAUGACAAGUACGUCACGGCUGGAGACUGGCUCUGCUGGGCUGCAGCUUUGGGGGUGACAUGGCGUUGCAGAGAGAAGGCUGGGGACAGUAGAACUUUUUGAUAGGGGGCUUGGCACUUGAAGCGAGCUUGAGACAGAACCAAUACGUCCCUAGAUGGCUCUUUCAUCUAUGGCAGGGCACAUCCCAAGAUCCCAAGAUGCUAGCCUGUGGCCUCCUGAUAGCUCCCAGGCUAGGGAAUGCCCUGAAGAUGACCCUGGGCUCUACCUCUGCACUGAGGGGUCCCAUCCUCUGCGGUGACCCAGCCGCAGACUCCGAGACUUUGGGGACAUCCUGCAGACAAACAUCUUGGGAACUGGGCAUGUAGCUCCCUCUUUCCUUGUUCCCUCUUCAUGACUUCUAUCUCCUGAGAGUUCCAUUCACCUCCCACAGGUUCAUGCCCCCUGACGACCCUUUAGGACGCCACGGG